rnacentral:rRNA from 1 species
AUUGAACGCUGGCGGCAGGCCUAACACAUGCAAGUCGAGCGGGGUUUUCGGACCUAGCGGCGGACGGGUGAGUAAUGCGUAGGAAGCUACCCGAUAGAGGGGGAUACCAGUUGGAAACGACUGUUAAUACCGCAUAAUGUCUACGGACCAAAGUGUGGGACCUUCGGGCCACAUGCUAUCGGAUGCGCCUACGUGGGAUUAGCUAGUUGGGGGGGUAAUGGCUCACCAAGGCGACGAUCCCUCGCUGGUUUGAGAGGAUGAUCAGCCACACUGGAACUGCGACACGGUCCAGACUCCUACGGGAGGCAGCAGUGGGGAAUAUUGGACAAUGGGCGCAAGCCUGAUCCAGCCAUGCCGCGUGUGUGAAGAAGGCCUUCGGGUUGUAAAGCACUUUCAGUAGGGAGGAAGGGUGUUGUGUUAAUAGCACAGCAUUUUGACGUUACCUACAGAAGAAGCACCGGCUAACUCUGUGCCAGCAGCCGCCGUAACAC